rnacentral:rRNA from 1 species
GUGUCAGCCGCCGCGGUAAGACGUAGGGGACGAGCGUUGUCCGGAUUCAUUGGGCGUAAAGAGCGCGUAGGCGGCCGUGCAAGUCGGAUGUGAAAAUCCGGGGCUCAACCCCGGACGUGCAUCCGAUACUGCUCGGCUAGAGGUAGGUAGGGGAGAUCGGAAUUCCUGGUGUAGCGGUGAAAUGCGCAGAUAUCAGGAGGAACACCGGUGGCGAAGGCGGAUCUCUGGGCCUUACCUGACGCUCAGGCGCGAAAGCUAGGGGAGCGAACAGGAUUAGAUACCCGAGUAGUCC